UACAGAGGGUGCGAGCGUUGCUCGGAAUUACUGGGCGUAAAGCGUGCGUAGACGGUCAUGUAAGUCGGAUGUGAAAGCCCCGGGCUCAACCUGGGAAUUGCAUUCGAGACUGCAUGGCUUGGGUGCGGAAGAGGGAAGCGGAAUUUCCGGUGUAGCGGUGAAAUGCGUAGAUAUCGGAAGGAACACCAGUGGCGAAAGCGGCUUCCUGGUCCGACACCGACGUUCAGGCACGAAAGCGUGGGGAGCAAACAGG
rnacentral:rRNA from 1 species